CUGAGUAGAGUGGCGCACGGGUGAGUAACGCGUGGGUAAUCUACCCUUGGAUUUGGGAUAACUCUGCGAAAGUGGAGCUAAUACCGGAUAGUCUGGCUUUAAAUAAGAAGUCGGUAAAGGAUGCCUCUGCAUAUGCAUUCGUCCGAGGAUGAGCCCGCGUCUCAUUAGCUAGUUGGUAGGGUAAUGGCCUACCAAGGCAACGAUGAGUAGCUGGUCUGAGAGGAUGAUCAGCCACACUGGAACUGAAACACGGUCCAGACUCCUACGGGAGGCAGCAGUGGGGAAUAUUGCGCAAUGGGCGAAAGCCUGACGCAGCAACGCCGUGUGAGGGAUGAAGGCUUUCGGGUCGUAAACCUCUGUCGGAAGGGAAGAACGGGCAUUGGUCUAAUAGGCCUUUGUUUUGACGGUACCUUUAGAGGAAGCACCGGCUAACUCCGUGCCAGCAGCCGCGGUAAUACGGAGGGUGCAAGCGUUAUUCGGAAUUACUGGGCGUAAAGCGCACGUAGGCGGCCUUGUAAGUCAGGGGUGAAAUCCCACGGCUCAACCGUGGAACUGCCUUUGAAACUGCAGGGCUUGAAUCCUGGAGAGGGUGGCGGAAUUCCUGGUGUAGGAGUGAAAUCCGUAGAUAUCAGGAGGAACACCGGUGGCGAAGGCGGCCACCUGGACAGGCAUUGACGCUGAGGUGCGAAAGUGUGGGGAGCAAACAGGAUUAGAUACCCUGGUAGUCCACACCGUAAACGAUGGAUACUAGGUGUCGGGGACUUGAUCUUCGGUGCCGUAGCUAACGCGUUAAGUAUCCCGCCUGGGGAGUACGGUCGCAAGGCUGAAACUCAAAGAAAUUGACGGGGGCCCGCACAAGCGGUGGAGUAUGUGGUUUAAUUCGAUGCAACGCGAA
rnacentral:rRNA from 1 species